rnacentral:rRNA from 1 species
GGGAUUGCCCUAGUAACGGCGAGUGAAGCGGCAACAGCUCAAAUUUGAAAUCUGGCCCUCGGGUCCGAAUUGUAAUUUGUAGAGGAUGCUUUUGGUGCGGUGCCUUCCGAGUUCCCUGGAACGGGACGCCAGAGAGGGUGAGAGCCCCGUACGGUUGGACACCUACCCUAUAUAUAGCUCCUUCGACGAGUCGAGUAGUUUGGGAAUGCUGCUCUAAAUGGGAGGUAAAUUUCUUCUAAAGCUAAAUACCGGCCAGAGACCGAUAGCGCACAAGUAGAGUGAUCGAAAGAUGAAAAGCACUUUGAAAAGAGGGUUAAAUAGCACGUGAAAUUGUUGAAAGGGAAGCGUUUGUGACCAGACUUUUUCUUAGUGGAUCAUCCGGUGUUCUCACCGGUGCACUUCACUGGGUUUAGGCCAGCAUCGGUUUCCGGAGGGGGACAAAAGCAUGGGGAAUGUGGCUCUUUCGGGAGUGUUAUAGCCCCUAGCAUAAUACCUCUCCUGGGGACCGAGGACCGCGCUUCGGCAAGGAUGCUGGCGUAAUGGUUAUCAACGACCCGUCUUGAAACACGGACCAAGGAGUCGAACAUUUGUGCGAGUGUUUGGGUAUCAAACCCUCACGCGUAAUGAAAGUGAACGGAGGUGAGAGCCCCUCGGGGUGCAUCAUCGACCGAUCCUGAUGUCUUCGGAUGGAUUUGAGUAAGAGCAUAACUGUUCGGACCCGAAAGAUGGUGAACUAUGCGUGGAUAGGGUGAAGCCAGAGGAAACUCUGGUGGAGGCUCGCAGCGGUUCUGACGUGCAAAUCGAUCGUCAAAUCUGCGCAUGGGGGCGAAAGACUUAUCGAACCAUCUAGACUGUCCGGCGGCCC